rnacentral:lncRNA from 1 species
AAGACAGAAGAAGACUAGGUCUGUCAAGGCUAUACAGAAACUGUCCAACACUUGGACUUUGCACUGUUGCUGAAUGUGGUUAUUAGCUCCGAGAGUUUUUUUUUUAAUAUUUUGGGGUUUUCUUUAUAAAGGAUAGAUCAUCUACAAAUACUUCUUGCUUUUCAAUUUAGAUGAUGUUUCCUUUCCUGCCCAAUUUAUCUGGUUAAAACGUCUGAUACACUGUUGAAUAGAAGAGGCAAGGGCACAUGUUCAUGUCUUGUUCCUGAUAUUGGGAGAAAGCAUCCCGUUUUUCACCACAGAAACGGGGUUUCACCAUGUUAGCCAAGAUGGUCUCGAUCUCCUGACCUCGCGAUCCGCCCGCCUUGGCCUCCCAAAGUGCUGGGAUUAUGCAUUCUCUCUUUACAUCACAAUGACCAUGACCUUGGAUAUGGAGUCCACUCAAAAGUAAUCUGAACUAAUAAACAAAUUCUGCAAGGUUGAAGAAUACAAGGAGAUAUGGAAUCACCAAAGAAUACUGACACAGAAGAACCAAGUAGGAGAGUGUGCAAUUCCCAGUCUCAUAUCUCAUUACAAAACCAAACUAAACAAGGCAUUGGCACAAGAAUAGACAUACAGAUCAAUGGAACAGAACUGAGACCCCAGAAAUAAAACCAAGUGGUCAGCUGACUUUUUGAAAGCUUGCCAAGACCAUCAAAUGGGGAAAAAUUUUUUUAAUAUACGUUGCAGGGAUAAUUGGAUAUAAACAUCCAAAAGAAUGAACUUGGAUGCUUAUCUUGCACCAUAUGCAAAAAUAACUGAAAAUGAAUUCAAGGCUAUAACUAUUAACUCAGAAAAAAAAAAUGAGCUGCAUUUUCAUGAUCCUAGGUUUGGCAAAAUACUCUUAAGUAUAACUCCAAAAAAAAACCCACCAAAAAACCUAGAUAAGUUAAAUUUCAUCAAAAUUAAACAUUUUGGGCAUCAAAGGGCAUCAUUAAUAAAAUGAAUAGACUUACUACAGAUUGUGAGAAAAUGCUUGCAUAUCAUACGUCUGGUAAGCAAAUUGUUUCUAGAGUAAUAUAUUAAAAAACUCUUACAACUCAAUAAGAAGAAGACAAAUAACACAAACUA